UCAGGAUGAACGCUAGCGACAGGCCUAACACAUGCAAGUCAGGGGCAGCACAAGGAGCAAUCUGAGGUGGCGACCGGCGCACGGUGAGUAACACGUAUGCAACCUGCCUGUAAGCGGGGAAUAACCCGUUGAAAGACGGACUAAUACCGCAUAAUACUAAAUUACUGCAUGGUAAUUUAUUUAAACAUUUAUGGCUUACAGAUGGGCAUGCGCAUGAUUAGCUAGUUGGAGAGGUAACGGCUCCCCAAGGCAACGAUCAUUAGGGGUUCUGAGAGGAAGGUCCCCCACACUGGUACUGAGACACGGACCAGACUCCUACGGGAGGCAGCAGUGAGGAAUAUUGGUCAAUGGACGAGAGUCUGAACCAGCCAAGUCGCGUGCAGGAAGAAAAUGUCCUAUGGAUUGUAAACUGCUUUUGCAGGGGAAUAAAGUGCAUCACGUGUGAUGUUUUGUAUGUACUCUGCGAAUAAGGAUCGGCUAACUCCGUGCCAGCCGCCGC
rnacentral:rRNA from 1 species